rnacentral:tRNA from 1 species
GCACCGGUGGCAGGAGCCGCCCGGGGCUCUGGUGCAGCCCCGGCUACCGUUCGGCGGCACCGCCGCCC